rnacentral:rRNA from 1 species
CGGAGGGAUCAUUAACGAGUUCCAUUCUCCUUAAUACACCCGUGAACGUUUCUUCAACUGUUCGUUGCUUCGGCGGGCGGCCCCGGGGAGGGGCCGCAGCCCGCAAGGGCGCCCGCCGGCGGCAGCGCAGCACAACUCUUGCGAUUUAGGCCCCUCUGAGAAGACACUAAAUGAGUCAAAACUUUCAACAACGGAUCUCUUGGUUCUGGCAUCGAUGAAGAACGCAGCGAAAUGCGAUAAGUAAUGUGAAUUGCAGAACUCAGCGAAUCAUCGAAUCUUUGAACGCACAUUGCGCCCGCCGGCAUUCCGGCGGGCAUGCCUGUUCGAGCGUCAUUUCAACCCUCGAGCCCUGCUCGGUGUUGGGGCCCCGCGGCCGCCGCGGGCCCUGAAAAGAAGUGGCGGGCGCGCCUGGACCCGCAGCGCAGUAAUACACCUCGCUCGCGGCGUCCCGGCGCGUGCCGGCCGUAAAACCCCUUUAUCUCAAGGUUGACCUCGGAUCAGGUAGGAAUACCCGCUGAACUUAAGCAUAUCAAUAAGCGGAGGAAAAGAAACCAACAGGGAUUGCCCUAGUAACGGCGAGUGAAGCGGCAACAGCUCAAAUUUGAAAUCUGGCCUCGGCCCGAGUUGUAAUUUGCAGAGGAUGCUUCUGGCGCGGUGCCUUCCGAGUCCCCUGGAACGGGGCGC